AUACGUAGGGGGCGAGCGUUGUCCGGAAUGAUUGGGCGUAAAGGGCGCGUAGGCGGCCUGUUAAGUCUGGAGUGAAAGUCCUGUUUUCAAGAUGGGAAUUGCUUUGGAUACUGAUGGGCUUGAGUGCAGGAGAGGUUAUCGGAAUUCCCGGUGUAGCGGUGAAAUGCGUAGAGAUCGGGAGGAACACCAGUGGCGAAGGCGGGUAACUGGACUGCAACUGACGCUGAGGCGCGAAGGUGUGGGGAGCAAACAGGAUUAGAUACCCUGGUAGUCCACACUGUAAACGAUGAAUGCUAGGUGUAAGAGGUAUCGACCCCUUUUGUGCCGGAGUUAACACAAUAAGCAUUCCGCCUGGGGAGUACGGCCGCAAGGUUGAAACUCAAAUGAAUUGACGGGG
rnacentral:rRNA from 1 species